CACGGACACCUCCCGCGCCCCGUCCGCCCGCACGGCGUCGCACCGGUGGAAAGACGCGGCGCCGCAGUCCUCCGCGGCCGCGAAGCCGCACCGGGUGAAGCUCACGUGGCCGCCGCUGCCCCCGCCGCGCACCACGACGUGCUGGAGACGGUCCACCCUGAGGACGCCCGGGCUGAUCACGGUGAGCGUGCCUCCGUUGCACCGGAGCACACCCUCGUGGAUGGCUGUCUCCACGCCGUCGACGAGGACGGUGAAUUGGUGGUCGUCUUUGACGGUCGUGGCAGCGGAGGGAGGAGUUGUCGGGUCUACUGCCACCAUUUUUGCUUGGGUAUUUUACUUGUAGUGUUUGUGUUGAUUCGAGGAUAGAUGUCCAAGGUGCUUAAAAGGACGGUGUUGCUUAAGAGCUAAGGCGCUUCUAGCAAGAAGUUGCUGUCAAAUUAUGAGCGAGGCUUGAAUUCUUGAUCGAGAUGGCUCGUUUCUUCGAGUCUUGGAGAAAGCUACAGCUACCGCUCAUCCGUUUGUGAAUUAAAUACAGUUGAUUGUGACAUGGGCUAUACGUGUUACCUAUAGUUCAACAAGAAAAUAUGAAG
rnacentral:lncRNA from 1 species